rnacentral:rRNA from 1 species
UACAGAGGGGGCAAGCGUUAUUCGGAAUUAUUGGGCGUAAAGGGCGCGUAGGCGGCCUUUCAAGUGACGGGUGAAAUCCCUCGGCUUAACCGAGGAACUGCCUGUCAGACUGGAAGGCUUGAGACCGGGAGAGGUGAGUGGAAUUCCCAGUGUAGCGGUGAAAUGCGUAGAUACAUGGAGGAACACCGGUGGCGAAAGCGGCUUUCUAGUUUUUACCUGACGCUGAGGCGCGAGAGCAAGGGGAGCAAACAGG